AAGCCAAUGAUGAUUAUGUUCUAUAAAAGUUGGAAUUACCGUCUGAAUUACAGAUUUGAUGUCACAUAGACUAUCUGAGGCUUCUU